GAUGAACGCUGGCGGUGUGCUUAAUACAUGCAAGUCGAGCGGUAAGGUUCUGCACUUAUUAUUUGAUCGUGAAGAUUUAUCUUCUUAGGUUGUCCCUGGCUAGGGAAAGCGAAAGAUCGAAUACUGAGUGUAGAAUACACGAGCGGCGGACGGGUGAGUAACGCGUAGGAAUGUACCCCAAGUAGAGGGAUAAGACACCGGAAACGGUAGUCUAAUACCGCAUAUGGUCUAAGGAUUAAAGCUCUUCGGAGCGCUUUGGGUAACAGCCUGCGUCUGAUUAGCUAGUUGGUAAGGUAAUGGCUUACCAAGGCGACGAUCAGUAGCUGGUUUGAGAGGAUGACCAGCCACACUGGGACUGAGACACGGCCCAGACUCCUACGGGAGG
rnacentral:rRNA from 1 species